UGCUUAACACAUGCAAGUCGAACGGUAGGCACUUCGGUGCUGAGAGUGGCGGACGGGUGAGUAACGCGUAGGAACCUGGCCCGUAGUGGGGGACAACUUAGGGAAACUUAAGCUAAUACCGCAUACGCCCCAAGGGGGAAAGCGGGGGACCGCAAGGCCUCGCGCUAUGGGAUGGGCCUGCGUCGGAUUAGCUUGUUGGUGGGGUAACGGCCCACCAAGGCGACGAUCCGUAGCUGGUCUGAGAGGACGACCAGCCACACUGGGACUGAGACACGGCCCAGACUCCUACGGGAGGCAGCAGUGGGGAAUAUUGGACAAUGGGCGCAAGCCUGAUCCAGCAAUACCGCGUGUGUGAAGAAGGCCUGAGGGUUGUAAAGCGC
rnacentral:rRNA from 1 species